rnacentral:rRNA from 1 species
UACGUAGGGGGCAAGCGUUGUCCGGAAUCAUUGGGCGUAAAGAGCGUGUAGGCGGCCAGAUAAGUCCGCUGUGAAAUCUCGAGGCUCAACUUCGAGCUGUCGGUGGAAACUGUCUGGCUAGAGUCCGGAAGAGGAGAUUGGAAUUCCUGGUGUAGCGGUGAAAUGCGCAGAUAUCAGGAAGAACACCCGUGGCGAAGGCGGUUCUCUGGGACGGUACUGACGCUGAGACGCGAAAGCGUGGGGAGCGAACAGG